GUAAGUCUAUAACCAUACACCUGAAUGUGGCCCAGUGGGGCCUGUCUGGGACCUGUCUGAUCAACGUAAGUCUAUAACCAUACACCUGAAUGUGGCCCAGUGGGGCCUGUCUGGGACCUGUCUGAUCAACGUAAGUCUAUAACCAUACACCUGAAUGUGGCCCAGUGGGGCCUGUCUGGGACCUGUCUGAUCAACGUAAGUCUAUAACCGUACACCUGAACGUGGCCCAGUGGGGCCUGUCUGGGACCUGUCUGAUCAACGUAAGUCUAUAACCGUACACCUGAAUGUGGUCCAGUGGGGCCUGUCUGGGACCUGUCUGAUCAACGUGGGAAACGCAAAACAAAUGCAAACCAGGAUCCAGAUGUCGCUGACCAAGGAGGAGUACUCUUGGUUUUCAGACUUCCUGAAAUUUAAGCACUGUCUGCCAGGGGGAAAUAAAGCCCAGUACUUCUUUUUCAAUUCCACCAACACUGAGAUCAAGAACCUGCCCGUCUACCUGAGGGAGGCGUGGAAGGAGAUGGGCCUGCCUGGAAGGCCUUCCUUCACUGACCUGCGGACUUCCAUCUUCAGUCAUGUUAAAAACGUUCUCCCGAAUGCCGACGGGGAAACGUUGGCCGACUUCGUGCGCCACGACAGCCGGAUGGAAGCCAAACGUUACUCAAUGAAUCCUUCCAAAGCCGGUAAACCAGCGCCUUCCUUGAGACGGCGUUGAAGGGAGAAGAUACCGCACCACGGGCGCCGCAGAGAACCAGCCAUCCACCUCCAGAAAGCAGAAGACGAGAGAGGACGUCUCCGAGCGGAGCACCACCCCUGAAGAGACCGAGGUGCAGUACUAGGAGUCUGGCACGUCCCCCAGGGAGGAGGAGCAGGAACGGACGGCCAGACAAACUCUAGGAAAACAAGAUAUUCAGAGACAACGCAUUAGAUUACACUUGUACACCGUUUAACACUCAAGAACAAACAGAUACUCGGGCGUGGUGGUCUCCUCCAACUGAAGGGCAUGGUGGUCUCCUCCAACUGAAGGGCAUGGUGGUCUCCUCCAACUGAAUGUCGCCGCUCGCCUCCCACUGUGUCAGGUUAUGAAGCAGCUGAGGUCCAUUUAAAGCCCCAAACAGACUCCAGGAGAAAGAAGGACGAGGAAAGAGGGGGGGUUGACCUCUGACAGUCAGGUGGAAGAGGGGGGUUGACCUCUGACAGUCAGGUGGAAGAGGGGGGUUGACCUCUGACAGUCAGGUGGAAGACGGGGAGCUGUCUUCUGACAGUCAGGUGGAAGAGGG
ensembl:lncRNA